GCUCCUUGCCUGUUUGGUGCUGAACAUGAAGUUAGAUUAGAGUCAGGUUGUUGGAGCUUUUCCACUGAGAACAGCUGUUUGUAGUGUCUUGAACCAAAACAGUAAAGCUGUGGUCAAUGACACCUCAAAGGCACUAAAACGGGCUGCGAAGCAGAGGAGAACUGCAGCUGACAAGUAAUAACCACCCAGCGAAGUGGACGAAAGCAGAGCUCGACCUUGGAGUGACAGGAUGCAGACAAGGAGCUGCAGGAGCACCGGAAGUGGAAUCGUCAAAAACAGGAUUCACUGGACACCAGCACUUGUCAUGCACUGAGCCAAUUCUGCGGGAGGCGAAGGGACUAAAAGCUCUUAAUUGGUGUUUGGCCAUAUCAGCAACCCGGCAGCAAACUGUUUGACCUGCUCUGAGCCCAGCUGGAACAAACCUACCAAUUAGCUUCUUGUUAUCUUGAUAAAGGAUGCCUUUUUUGUAGAUUGGUGUGUGUGUGUGUGUGUGUGUGUGUGUCUAUGAAUGCGAAACAUAGAGAGAAACAUUGGGGAACUAUGUGUGUGUUUGUACACCUGAGAAUAAACCUUUUUGUGCUGA